rnacentral:rRNA from 1 species
UGGGGAAUAUUGCACAAUGGGCGCAAGCCUGAUGCAGCAACGCCGCGUGAACGAUGAAGGUCUUCGGAUCGUAAAGUUCUGUUGCAGGGGAAGAUAAUGACGGUACCCUGUGAGGAAGCCCCGGCUAACUACGUGCCAGCAGCCGCGGUAAUACGUAGGGGGCUAGCGUUAUCCGGAUUUACUGGGCGUAAAGGGUGCGUAGGUGGUCUUUCAAGUCGGUGGUUAAAGGCUACGGCUCAACCGUAGUUAGCCUCCGAAACUGGAAGACUUGAGUGCAGGAGAGGAAAGUGGAAUUCCCAGUGUAGCGGUGAAAUACGUAGAUAUUGGGAGGAACACCAGUAGCGAAGGCGGCUUUCUGGACUGCAACUGACACUGAGGCACGAAAGCGUGGGUAGCAAACAGG